GGAGAAAGUGUAUAAGGACGCUUUAUUUACUCCUCCUCGUAACACAAGAAAUAGGGGUCACCAAACGAAAUUAAUAAGCAGCAGGUUUAAAACAAACAAAAGAAAGUAUUUUUUCACACAAUGCACAGUCAACCUGUGGAACUCUCUGCCAGAGGGGGUUGUGAAGGCCAAGACUAUAACAGGGUUCAAAAA